AACGAACGCUGGCGGCAUGCCUAACACAUGCAAGUCGAACGAAACCUUCGGGUCUAUUGGCGCACGGGUGCGUAACGCGUGGGAACCUUCCCUUGUGGUCGGAAUAACUCCCCGAAAGGGGUGCUAAUGCCGGAUAAUGUCUUCUGACCAAAGAUUUAUCGCCUUGCGAUGGGCCCGCGUUAGAUUAGCUAGUUGUUAGGGUAAAAGCCUACCAAGGCGAAGAUCCAUAGCUGGGAUGAGAGCAUGAUCAGCAACACUAGGACGGGGACACGGCCCGGACCCUCCGGGGAGGGAGAAGUGGGGACGAAGGGACGCCGCGCGAAAGAUUGAGCUAGCAGGGUCGUGAGAGUGAGGUAGGAGUUAGGAUCGUAAAGCUAUGUUACCAGGGACGAUAAUGCGAGUCCUGGGCGAAUAGCUCCGGCUAACUACGUG
rnacentral:rRNA from 1 species